rnacentral:rRNA from 1 species
UACGUAGGGUGCAAGCGUUGUCCGGAUUUAUUGGGCGUAAAGAGCGUGUAGGCGGCUAGAUAGGUCCGUUGUGAAAACUCGAGGCUCAACCUCGAGACGUCGAUGGAAACCAUCUGGCUAGAGUCCGGAAGAGGAGAGUGGAAUUCCUGGUGUAGCGGUGAAAUGCGCAGAUAUCAGGAAGAACACCCCGUGGCGAAGGCGGCUCUCUGGUACGUGACUGACGCUGAGACGCGAAAGCGUGGGGAGCAAACAGG